rnacentral:rRNA from 1 species
GACGAACGCUGGCGGCGUGCCUAAUACAUGCAAGUUGAGCGCUGAAGGUUGGUACUUGUACCAACUGGAUGAGCAGCGAACGGGUGAGUAACGCGUGGGGAAUCUGCCUUUGAGCGGGGGACAACAUUUGGAAACGAAUGCUAAUACCGCAUAAAAACUUUAAACACAAGUUUUAAGUUUGAAAGAUGCAAUUGCAUCACUCAAAGAUGAUCCCGCGUUGUAUUAGCUAGUUGGUGAGGUAAAGGCUCACCAAGGCGAUGAUACAUAGCCGACCUGAGAGGGUGGUCGGCCAAAUUGGGACUGAGACACGGCCCAAACUCCUACGGGAGGCAGCAGUAGGGAAUCUUCGGCAAUGGACGAAAGUCUGACCGAGCAACGCCGCGUGAGUGAAGAAGGUUUUCGGAUCGUAAAACUCUGUUGGUAGAGAAGAACGUUGGUGAGAGUGGAAAGCUCAUCAAGUGACGGUAACUACCCAGAAAGGGACGGCUAACUACGUG